rnacentral:lncRNA from 1 species
AAAUCUCUGAAAUUGAAAAGUGCUAUUUUGUUAUUAACUUUUUUUUUCUUUUUCUCUUUCCAGAUGGAGUCUGACAGUGAAGAGAAUCGCAGUGAAACAUGCGAUGUUCUGCCUGACUGCAUCGCUGAGGCGCCCAGCUUGUAUCUCGGAACGGGUAAAAAGCGGGCGGCCGCAGAAGGGGCCCGCGGGGCCCCGGUCAACAAGAGGAAAUCGCUCCUGAUGAAGCCCCGCCACUACAGUCCUAGUCCCUGCCCCAGCGAGGAAGACCUGGCAAGCGCUCAAGACAAAGACGCGCCCAGGAACACUGACACUCCAGCAGGUAGACAGAUGUCCUGUUGUUUUGUCUGUUUUGAUGAACAAUUGACGCUGAAUUUUAAACUACCAUCUGUUGCAUUCAUUUAUUUGUUUCCCUCCUCCUCCUCCUCCUUCGUCUCCUCUCCCCCUCCCUCCCCGCAUCCGUCUCUUCGUCCAUCCCGGGGAAGUUCACGACAGUCGAUUCCCGUUCGUUUUUUCAUGCAUCCGGUGUCCAGAUUAAGGCGAUUUCCUGCGCUCGGCUUCUUUGAAACCCGGAUUAAAAACUGGCGGCGGCGGGUUGAUUAUGCAGCCUGGAAAAGUGCUUUUUAUAAGCAAGUGUGGUUGCUUGCAUAAUUAUGACAAAGUAGGGUAACUGAGAAUAGAAUGCACGGAAACGUUAAAGUCGAUAUUACGUUUUAAAGCAGUCUCCUUUCUAGAAACAAAAUGCUGCCAUCUCCUAAUGAAUCAAAUUAUGAGCAUGUUGGCAACAAUACCCAUGCUUUACAUGUGUACCUCCACACCCCUAUAAUCUGCACUUAUUUGGUAUAUUUUUAACGAUGUAACCAAGCAACAAACGUAAUUGUCCCUUUCGAAAGCUUUUGUUAGACCAUCGAACACAGCCCAAAUAUACAUAAUUAGGCAUAAUGUGUGCGGCUCAUUAUUGGACACAUGUGGGUUGUUAAAUGGACAACAAAAUAGCUCAAUAAAUUGAACAGCAUCAUUGGAAAUGGAAUUUAUUUGUUUCUCUGAUUUCAUAUUACCCACAAUAAUCAUAACCUUUUUUUCCCCCUCCUCCUUCUUCGAAUUUGUAGUAUUAUUUUCUGAAGUUGCAGUAGGAAAAAAAAAAUCUCAUUUGUCAUAUUUCCCUGCUGUCUUGCAACAUGUUUGCUUUGCGUUUUGCCAAAGUGCACUACUGAAGAAGUGCUGGUGGAAAAGAAAAAAAUUCAAAGACAUAAUGCGCGGGGUGUGACUGGGAGUGGAUGGCGACUGGGACCGUAGUGAAAUUAAUGGAUCUGUAGGGGGACGAGAGGGAUAUGUGAAUUUCAUGAGGAAAAAAAGGGAAAAGCAAAGGCAGGGGAGAAAUUAAAGGGGGUGUAAGGCUUCCAUUUGGUGCUGUUGUGUGUGUGUGUGUGUGUGUGUGUGUGACUCCAGCCAAGCUUCUGGUCUCCAUACACACAAUGGUAAUGGUUAUUCUGGAGUAUAAACCAUUCACCUGUUACCAAAAUACAAACCACUCUCUGCAUCCAAGCUAUUUUUCGCCCUUGUUCGCUCCUAGUUUUUCUUUUUUUUUUUUUUUUGUUUUGUGUGUGUGUGUGUGUGUGUGUGUGUGUGUGUGUGUGUGUGUGUGUGUGACUCCAGCCAAGCUUCUGGUCUCCAUACACACAAUGGUAAUGGUUAUUCUGGAGUAUAAACCAUUCACCUGUUCCAAAACACAAACCACUCUCUGCAUCCAAGCAUUUUUCGCCCUUGUUCGCUCCAGCUUUUUUUUUCGCACUGUUCUGUUUUUUUUUUUUUUUUUUUUUGGUUUUUUUUUUUUUAAAUGAAAUUUAACCACUGUGUCCUCAAUGGUCUAUGGAGAUUCCUAUGUUCAUGGUGCAUCCCAAAACACGACACUUGUAAUGGCUCUUUGGCACUGACAUUGUA